GACGAACGCUGGCGGCGUGCCUAACACAUGCAAGUCGAACGGAAAGGCCCUGCUUUUUUUGGGUGCUCGAGUGGCGAACGGGUGUGUAACACGUGAGUAACCUGCCUCUGACUUUAGGAUAACUUCAGGAAACUGGGGCUAAUACCGGCUAGGAGCUCCUGCUGCUUGGUGGGGGUCGGAACGUUUCGGAGGUUGGGGAUCGACUCGCGGCUUAUCAGCUUGUUGGUCGGGUAGUGGCUUACCAAGGCUUCGACGGGUAGCCGGCCUGAGAGGGUGACCGGCCACAUUGGGACUGAGAUGAGGCCCAGACUCCAACGGUAGGCAACAGUGGGGAAGAGUGCACAGUGGGCGGGAGCCUGAUGCAACGACGCCGCGUGCGGGAAGACGGCCAAGGGGUUGGAAACCGCAUUCGCCUAUGACGAAGCGGUAGUGACGGUAAUAGGUGAAGAAGCACCGGCUAACUACGUG
rnacentral:rRNA from 1 species